GCGCCCAUAGCUCAGUUGGAUAGAGUGACGGACUACGAAUCCGUAGGUCGCAGGUUCGAAUCCUGCUGGGCGCACCA
rnacentral:tRNA from 2 species